rnacentral:rRNA from 1 species
CCUACGGGAGGCAGCAGUGGGGAAUAUUGGGCAAUGGAGGCAACUCUGACCCAGCAACGCCGCGUGAAGGAAGAAGGCCUUAGGGUUGUAAACCUAUGUUGGAAAGGAAGAAAAGAAUGACGGUAGUUCAUAAGAGAGCGUCGGCUAACUAUGGGCCAGCAGCCGCGGUAAGACAGAGGGGGCAAGCGUUGUUCGGAAUUACUGGGCGUAAAGGGAGCGUAGGCGGGAGAUUAAGUUAAGAGUGAAAGCAAUGGGGUCAACCCAAGAAAUGGUGUAAAUACUGGUUGUCUAGAGUGUGGGAGAGGUAGGUGGAAUUCCUGGUGUAGCGGUGGAAUGCGUAGAUAUUAGGAGGAACAUC